rnacentral:rRNA from 1 species
GACGAGGGGUCCUAGCGUUGUUCGGAAUCACUGGGCGUAAAGGGUGCGUAGGCGGCGCGGUAAGUCGGGUGUGAAAUCUUGGAGCUUAACUCCGAAACUGCAUUCGAUACUGCCGUGCUUGAGGACUGGAGAGGAGACUGGAAUUUACGGUGUAGCGGUGAAAUGCGUAGAUAUCGUAAGGAAGACCAGUGGCGAAGGCGGGUCUCUGGACAGUUCCUGACGCUGAGGCACGAAGGCCAGGGGAGCAAACGGG